UACGUAGGGUGCGAGCGUUAUUCGGAAUUACUGGGCGUAAAGCGUGCGUAGGCGGUGGCUUAAGCCAGGCGUGAAAUCCCCGGGCUUAACCUGGGAAUGGCGUAUGGGACUGGGUCGCUAGAGUGUGGCAGAGGGAGGUGGAAUUCCACGUGUAGCAGUGAAAUGCGUAGAGAUGUGGAGGAACACCGAUGGCGAAGGCAGCCUCCUGGGCCAGCACUGACGCUCAGGCACGAAAGCGUGGGGAGCAAACAGG
rnacentral:rRNA from 1 species